ensembl:lncRNA
ACAUAUGGGAUAUCAUAUGGUUUUUGUCUUUCUCUGCCUGGCUGACUUCGUAUGAUAAUCUCUAGGUCCAUCUGUUUCUGCAAAUGGCAUUAUUUCAUUUUUUUCAUGACUGAGUAGUAUUCCAUAUGUACCACAUAUUCUUAAUCCACUUGUCUGUUGAUGGACGUUUAGGUCGUUUCCACGUCUUGGCGAUUGUGAUGGGUGCUGCCAUGAACACAGGGGUGCAUUAUCUUUUCGAAUUAUGGUUUUGUGAGGAGAGCUGCCCCGGAGUGGGAUUGCUGGAUCCUAUGGUAGUUCUAUAUGUAGUUUUCUGAGGAAUCUCCUUGCUGUUUUCCACAGCGGCUGCACCAACUUGUAUUCCUACCAACAGUGUACGAAGGCUUCCUUUUCAAUUUAUUUAUUUUUUAAUUCAAUGAAAUUUAUUGUAUUUGCAGUUGGAUGCCCACCACCACAACCUAAUUUUAGAACAUUUCCAUCCCAGCCCCCCAGUUGACCCCUCUCUGCCCCCAUCUGUCCCCUGUGGUUCCCAUAAGUUUUUCAGAGACUGUGUGAGUCUGUUUCUGUUCUGCAGAUAAGUUCAUUUGUAUCCUUUAAGAUUCCACAUAUAAGUGGUAUCAUGUUUGCCUCUCACUGUCUGACUUUCCUCACUUAGUAUGAUACUUUCUCAGUCCAUCCGUGUAGCUACAGAUGCCAUUAUUUCAUUCUUUUUUGUGGCUGAGUAAUAUUCCAUUGUGUGUAUGAAUCACAUCUUCUUGAUCCACUCCUCUGCCAAUGGACAUUUAGGUUGUUUCCACGUCUUGGCUACUAUUCGUAGUGCUGCAAUGAACAUGGGGGUGCAUGUAUCUUUGUGAGAGUCGUGGUUUCCUCUGGAUUCAAUGUCUUUAUUAUUAUUAUAAUUAUUUUGUCUUUUUAGGGCUGUACCUGCAGCCUAUGGAGGUUCCCAGGCUAGGGGUCUAAUUGGAGCUGUUGCUGCUGGCCUACGCAACAGCCACAGCCACACCAGAUCUGAGCCACUUCUGCAAACUAUACCACAGCUCACGUCAAAACUGGAUCUUUGACCCACUGAGCGAGGCCAGGGAUUGAACCCACAACCUCAUGCUUCCUAGUUGGAUUUGUUUCCACUGCGCCACGAUGGGAACUCCCAAUGUCUGUAUUCUUGACUACAGUUUUACACUGCAUUAGACUCUCCUCCCGUCCCUUACAGCGACAGCAGGGAAGGUAUACUGUGGGGAGCCUGACUGCCGAGGAAGGAACAGAAGCCUGGAAGGUUGGCAACUUUUCCAGAGUCACUGGGUGUUGCAGCUGCCCGGCUUGGGAGCUCCCAGCCUCGAGGUCCCGGGUGUUGCUGACUCCGAUGGCUCUAAACCAGCUCUGAUGCCUUCUUUGGGGGUGUCGCCUCGAGGUUUGGUCUCCAUUGCCUCGCUCCUUCACGGCUCACCUUCUAACAGGCUCACCUUCUAACAAGGCAGAUGCUUCUUUUUCAUUUUUUUCAUUUCAACUGUUAUUAUUUUGUCUGUUUAGGGCCGUACCCAGAGCCCACGGAAGUUCCCAAGCCCACAUCUGCAGUUUACACCACAGCUCACAGCAAUGCUGGGUCCAUAACCCCCUGAGUGAGGACAGGGAUCCAACCCUCAUCCUCAUGGAUCCUAGUCGGGUUCGUUACUCCUGAGCCACCAAGGGGACGCCUCCUCCUGAAAGUUCGAGAACCACUGCAGGGUCUGUGGGACGAACGGACAGGACAGGCCUCGCUGGCCUCCUGCGACAGAGGAGACACUAGAUGCUUCAAUGACAGCAGAACUGGCCAGAAGGAGGCCUAGGUUUCAAGAGACCUUUUCUGUGACUCACUGAACUUCCUCGUAAUCAACGUCCACCGUGUCCUUUGAUCCGCAACAGAAAUGGCAGAAUCUGCUCUCCUCAAAGUCAGUUAUAAAGUGGCUCCUCUGGGAGUGCCCUUUGUGGCUCAGUGGGUUAAGAACCUGACUAGUAUCCACGAAGAUACACAUUCGAUCCCUGGCCUCGUUCAGCGGGUAAAGGAUCCUGUGUUGCCGUGGCUGUGCUGUAGGCUGGCAGCUGCAGCUCCCAUUCACCCCCUAGCCUGGGAACCUCCAUUAUGCUGCAGGUGUGGCCCUCAAAAGACAAAUAAAAAUCAUAAAUCCACCCUUCCCUCUCUCCUUCCUGUCCAGGGCCGGAGAGCUAUUCCUUUCCUUCCCCCCGUGCUAUAUUUAUGGUGUUUCUGGGAAUUAAAAAAAAAAAAUCUUGAAUCUCCUUUAUCCUGGUAUGAUUAAUUUAGAAAACAAAGUCCCUCGGGAUGACUAUCUGGUUCCCCACGAGCGAUGGCAGUGCGUCGAUCAUAAAUCCAGUGCACAACCGGGGGCUGAUCUCACGUCUUCUGGGGCCUUAAAAAAAAACAUCUGCAUAGCUGGGGGUCCGGAGAAAACAAAAUUAGCAAAUACUUUAUGUUCUUUCUGUAUUUGCCAGUCGUUUCACAACGCCUGUAUACGCCUUUGCAAAUAACAAGGAGGGUUUUUGAAGGUAAACAUUUGGGGCACGAGGUGUAGAACCCC